CCUACCAUUUGUAACCAGUUCAUCUUAUGCUAAGAGUGUUCCGCUUUUGCAGUUGAAUAGCGGGAGGGUUUGUUUGUUUACCUUCGGGAAGUCAGAUGCGCGUUGGGUGUGUCAGCCUCCUGAGGGAAGGCCAGCUGACUGGAGUCACUCUGGCUAUAGGUCUUUGUUUCCUGCUUAGUCUCUGGUCUGUGGAGAGAUUUAGCGUUGCUCUUAGGGGAGGCGGGACAGGGAGACGGAAGCAGGUGGCGAGCCUCCCGACCCAGGGCAGAGCGCCUUUGUGAGGUGGGGUGCGGUGAGCUUCCCUGGGGGCCUUCAUGCUCUGUUGUGCUUUGAGAAAGUCAGAAUGUCCCUUUCACAUUGCAGGCUGUCACCCUGAACUGUGCCCACAGUUUCUGCUCCUUCUGCAUCAGUGAGUGGAUGAAGCGGAAAGUGGAGUGUCCCAUCUGUCGGAAGGACAUUGAGUCCAGAACCAACUCGCUGGUUCUGGACAACUGCAUCAGUAAGAUGGUGGAACGCCUGAGCUCAGACGUGAAGGAGAGGAGAAGCGUCCUCAUUAGGGAACGAAGAGCAAAGAGACUGUUAUGAAGGUCAUGCUCCAAGGACAUGUGAGAGACUAGGAGGAUGGCAGCUUGGCGCGUUCUAGAGGAUUCCCUUUGGCUGCUCUGGACAUCAUCGGAAGCCGUGUGCUGCAGAGACUUAGGAAGUCUGUGUCACUGGCCUUCUGUCUGCUGGCCCUGCUGCUGACAUCACCGUCUACAGUGCUGCUGGGACACCCACUUGGAGUGACUGCCUCACUACGUGUUAAAUGAGUUGAGUUCUGUGUUUCUUCAUUUGUUGAUUGUUUUUGAUACCUCAUGCACCCUGUUGACAUCGCCUUGGACACUUGGGUGCGCCCUAUGGCUGCAUGGAAGGUGGCCUGCAUUUUGAGAGUCUGGUUUACCUUUUAAUGAAAACAAGAUGUCAUUUCUUGGAAAUAAAUAUAUAAAACCCGCCAGUUGCUCA
rnacentral:lncRNA from 1 species